rnacentral:rRNA from 1 species
UACGAAGGGGGCUAGCGUUGCUCGGAAUCACUGGGCGUAAAGGGUGCGUAGGCGGGUCUUUAAGUCAGGGGUGAAAUCCUGGAGCUCAACUCCAAAACUGCCUUUGAUACUGAAGAUCUUGAGUUCGGGAGAGGUGAGUGGAACUGCGAGUGUAGAGGUGAAAUUCGUAGAUAUUCGCAAGAACACCAGUGGCGAAGGCGGCUCACUGGCCCGAUACUGAUGCUGAGGCACGAAAGCGUGGGGAGCAAACAGG